UUGUGCCAUACCGGCUUGUCAAAGCCUGAUCUCAAUAUGUCUCAGGAGCUAAUAAAGGUGGGCCUGGUUAGUACUUGGAUAGGAGACCACUCGGCAUACCAGGUGCCACAGU
rnacentral:rRNA from 1 species